rnacentral:rRNA from 1 species
UAAUGGCAGGUACAGAGGGAUGCUACCGGGCGACCGGAUGCGGAUCUCGAAAGCCUGUCCCAGUUCGGACUGGAGUCUGCAACCCGACUCCACGAAGUUGGAUUCGCUAGUAAUCGCGCAUCAGCCAUGGCGCGGUGAAUACGUUCCCGGGCCUUGUACACACCGCCCGUCAAGCCAUGGGAGCCGGGGGCGCCUGAAGUCCGGGACCGCGAGGACCGGCCUAGGGCGAAACUGGUAACUGGGGCUAAGUCGUAACAAGGUAAC